AGAUGAUUAGAAGAAUUGAAUUUAUAAUUAUGCAAGUUUCAUCAAUUCUUAUAAAAAUUAGAUCAUUAUGGAUGAUGAGAUUAUAAGAAAUUUUAUAGGGCUUGCAUAUUUUUUAAGGCUUGCUCUAGAGAAUAUGCGGCCAUCACGUAUCCGACCUCGAUAUUAGGUUCGGGGCAUAACAGGCUAAGUCCUCCUCCUUCGUAAGUCUCUCCGCUUAUAGUCUCAGCC
rnacentral:lncRNA from 1 species